rnacentral:rRNA from 1 species
AUGUCGAUGUCGGGGGCGGACUUCAACGGCGUGGGCGAGGACCCCAGGAUCUUCCGCAACAUCUGCCGCGACCGGAUACUCAAGGAUAUGCUGAAGCCGGACAAGGACAAGGAGAACAAGAGCGCGUGGAAGGUUCUUAUCAUGGAUAAAUUUACGGUGAGGAUCAUGGGUUAUGCUUGCAAGAUGGCAGAAAUCACCGAUGCAGGGGUUUCGUUGGUGGAAGAUUUGUUCAAGCGAAGGGAGCCGAUGCCUUCAAUGGAUGUGAUCUACUUUGUACAACCACUGAAAGAAAAUGUCAUAAUGCUUCUAUCCGACAUGUCUGGGAGAUGUCCACUGUACAGGAAGGCAUACAUCUUCUUCAGCUCACCAAUUCCCAAGGAGCUGGUGACUUACAUUAAGAACGACAGCAGUGUGAUACCACGCAUUGGUGCACUAAGAGAGAUGAAUUUGGAGUUUUUUGCUAUUGACAUGCAGGGGUUUGUAACUGACCAUGACAUGGCACUGACCGACUUAUAUGGUGCAAAUGACCAUAAUUCAAAAAAAUUCAACGACACCAUAAGCACUAUGGCUUGCCGCAUAGCUACCACAUUUGCAUCGUUGAAGGAAUUUCCUACCGUGCGGUAUCGAGCACCUAAAAGUGCAAACCCAUCAACAGCACCAAAAUUUGACAUGGUUCCAAAAUGGCUGGCUAACGCUACUUGGGAAAUCGUGUCAAAAUAUAAGUCCACAAUUCCAGAAUUUCCCCAGAAGGAGACAUGUGAAUUGCUUAUUCUGGACAGACCUAUAGAUCAGAUAGCACCUGUUAUUCAUGAAUGGACCUAUGAUGCAAUGUGCCAUGAUCUACUCGAAAUGGACGGCAACAAAUACAUAUAUGAGGUAUCAAAAGGGGAUUCAGAACCUGAAAAGAAGGAAGCUUUAUUGGAGGAUCAAGAUCCUCUCUGGAUAGAGCUUCGCCAUACUCACAUAGCUGAUGCCAGUGAGAGGUUGUAUGAGAAGAUGAAUACCUUUGUAUCAAAGAAUAAAGCAGCACAACUUCAUUCAAGAGAUGGUGGUGAAAUCUCAACCACAGAUCUGCAAAGGAUUGUUCAAGCUUUGCCACAGUACGGUGAGCAAGUUGAUAAAUUGACCCUCCACAUAGAUAUUGCAGGAAAAAUCAACAGGUGCAUCAGGGAGUACGGGCUCCGUGACCUUGGGCAGUUGGAGCAGGAUCUGGUUUUUGGAGAUGCAGGAGCAAAGGAGGUGAUCAAUAUGCUCAGGUCAAAGCAGAAUUUGAGUGAAGAAAACAAAUUGAGACUGUUGAUUAUAUAUGCAAUUGUAUGUCCCGACAAGUUUGAAGGUGACAAAGGGGACAAGUUGAUGCAGCUAGCGAAACUUCCAUCAGAUGAUAUGAAGGCCAUAAACAGCUUAAGAUAUUUGGUUAGUUCAGAUGCAAAAAAGGAUGCACGGGCUGGCGGUUUCUCUCUCAAAUUUGAUGCCCAAAAGAAAAAAAAUACUGGUGUUCGGACAGAGCGGCAGGAUGGUGAGGAAGGCUGGGCGUUAUCACGUUUUUUCCCACUUAUAGAGGAGCUGGUCGAGAAACUGAGCAAAGGUGAAUUACCUCUAAACGAAUACCCAUCUUUAAGUGAAUCAAGUUCUACUUCUCAAGGGACCGCGGAAGGUGCAUCGGCGCCAAAACCAGCACAAAAUCCACAGCCCAUGUCCAGGAGAUCACGGCGCACACCACAGUGGGCUAAGGGUCGUAACUCUGAUGAUAGUCAAUCAAGCGACUCUUCCGUGUUGAGACAUGCAUCAGGUGAUUUCAAGAGGCUAGGGAACCGAAUAUUUGUCUUCAUGAUUGGUGGAGCAACCCGAUCUGAACUAAGGGUGGCGCACAAGCUAACCAUGAAGUUGAAGAGAGAAAUCGUCCUCGGGUCCUCUAGCAUCGAUAAUCCUCCACAGUUUAUUUCGAAGCUGAAGGCGCUAGGACCAUCCUAG